AAAGAAGUCCUUUCAGCUUCACACCACAGGGAUCUGAACACAUGGAGAACUGCACAGAACCAUGAUCUUGGAGGCUCCCCAGGACAGUGUCUCAUGUGAAAGGGCACCAUGGGGCUGACUUGGACAGUUUUCUUUCAGUGUACAUCACGUUCUCCACACAAGAAAAUCUCCUUGCUUUUACAUCUCUGGGGAAGGCAGGCAUUGCCUAAACAUCUACUGAUGAAAACUUUAUAUACAGUCUGGGUCAAACUGGAGUGUUUUGAUUCAGAUGUUUUGGAACUCUUCAUAGACAGGUGCUGCAACAGCUGGUCCAACCUACUGACCAAUAUACUGAUACUCAAAGAAAUUAAACAACAUCCCUGAAGACCUCAGCAUGCAGGAUCCCAGCAAAACAAGCCCUUGCUUUUCAGCAUCCUGCUCUAGCAAGCAGGUUGGUUGCUCUUACUUCUCUAUGAGAACCAAAACUCAUUUUUUUCCCCAUAAAAUAACAAAAGUAAAUAAAAAGAAAACAACAAGAACAUCAAAUGAAAACAAGGGAUCACCACUUUCUGAGAGGUUUAGAAACACACUUUCAGUAUUUCUCAGCAUGUACCUAAGCAUAACCAUUGUUUCUGUCUCCAUUUUUAUUGCUCUAGGCAAUGGAAACUGUAGUUUCUAUAUUUAAUGUAUUGAAACUGCCUGGUCUCCAAGGUAGCAGGGGUAUCUAUAUACACCAGUCGAAUACAUUUCAGGCUCAAUCACUUUGAAAGCCUGGAUAAUAGAGGAGCACUUGUACUUUGGAUAACAAAGUUAUUUCCUUUAACAUCAACAAGCAGCUCAGUUAGGAACUGCAUCAGGCAUUGAUUUUGUUAGCCUGUUUGCAGGCACUGUUGGGGCCUUUUUAACUAGUAAAACUUAAAAAAAAAAAAAACAAAACAAAAAACAAGAAGGUUUGCAGAUCAUUCUUCAUAUGCAUUUUUUCACAGAGCAGAGCUGACAGGAGGAGCUAUAUUAAUUUCACCAUUGCUGAUUUGAAUGUCAGGUGAACAUCUGUAGGACCAGUCCUGGAUCUGUCAAUUGCAGCCUCCUUGUUUUAAGACACACUGAAGCUCGAACUUACAUCUCAAGCCAAAUUUUAUACCUGGUUCCUAUUGGGAUUGUAAAUGUGCCUUCAAUUCCAGACUUGCAGCUUAGAUUCUGGACUAAGAGCCCCAACACACAACCAGAUUCGGAUGUGGGCUUCUUCCUGCUAUACUCAAGCCUAUUUAUUUCCAUUUCCUAUUUACUCAUUUAUCCUUACCUGAUGCUAAAUUAAAAGUAUCAUAAGCCACUCAUUAUGUAUUCCCAGAGUCACCGUAACCUGGCCAUCUGUUCUAUUGUUUUUAUUGUAAGAAAUGCUUGAUCUACAUUUUUUCCUUAUAUCACAUACUCUGGCUAGCAGCAGGAUUGCAGGACCCAGCACAUCCCUCCUCCCACUCCCCACCACGUAAUUCCUUUUAUCAGUAACGGGAACGAGGCACAUACAUGGAAAAGAAAGCAGAUUCCUUAGAGUAAACUUUCUGACAGAAGAGUUCGUAACAACUUUUCAAAAAAAAAAAAAAAACAACCCACACGUCUCGUUUAUUUUCCCCUUUCUUCCUCCCAGCUUUAUGUCAGUCAUCAAUCGAACAGGAGACAACUCAUUUCAUUUCUGUGACACGCAAUGAUGGACUUGUGUUACAACCCCGACUUAUUUUGAGAACUUCAAUUUCUCAAGCUGAAAGUCUGAAUGUCCCAUGCUUGGAAGGGCUAUUGAUCUGAUGUAGAUGGACAGCUCAAGAGGAACUGAUACAUUCCUUACAGCAAUUUUUUUCUGACCACUACAUAAUGUAGACUUUCUGGUUGUUUGUUGACAUCUAAAAACUUUGAUUCUGUGAUUUCACUGAUACUCUUUUGCAGGUUUUACUCAAUAUUUCCCUGCGCUAUUUGAUGUAGG
ensembl:lncRNA